AAUUGAAUUGUUUUUUUUUUUUUUUUUUUUGAAAAUUUGAAAAAGUUGUAAUGAUUAGUUUGAAAAUUCUGUAUUUGAAUUAUGUUUGGGAAGGAGAUGGGAUAAAAUGAGAACUUUGGGAUGAGAUCUAUAUGCAAACAUGCCUCGAGUGUAGCCGCACGGCUACUGUACAGUGCCAAAUUCUGUGGAUUUUGUCAGAUUUCAUCACGUUACUUCAUACUAGUUAUUGUUGGAAAUGUAGACUGUUAAAACACAUGGGAAAACUGAGAACAAUGCAUUUAAAUUUAUAAUAGGUGAUUGAAUCUGUCAACCUUUGGGCUGCCUAAGCAACUGGAUAGGAAGCUUCCGACCUUGGGGAUAGGUAUCUCUUUGAAUCCUCUUGUAGCCACUCUCACCCCCAUUAAUUCUUGAGUAACCAGUACUUAGUACCGUCUUCAUCUGUUGUUCCAUACCCAAUUGGAGUAACAUCAUGAUCUGCCCCUGUCCGGCACCAUCAAUGGAAACUGAGACUGGUUGGGUGGCCACAACCAUCAGUAAUUCCACCUCGUUGUUGGAAGGUACAUAUCCAAAUUCACUAAUCGCAGUUGCUAAAGUGGACGCCUUCUUCAUGUCACAAAUUUCCUCCAUAGUCUCGUAUGGGUAAUUUGCUUCAGUGGUGAAUCCUUGGUUUUGUAUUUUAUAUUCAUAGGUCCUAUCCAUGCCCCCACCAUUGCAGCCAUGAUUGUGUUCCGUGUCACUAUUCAUUAGUUAUUGCUCAGACAGGGAGAUCAAUUUGCCUAUUGUGAUAUCGGCGAUCCCCUCUACAAUAGCAUGGCUGAAAAUGCCAAGCAAUGUCCUGAAUAGAAGUUAAUCAUGUUAGAACUUAGAACAACAGUAAGUACCAGCAAACUUGAACUUUUUAUUUUUCACAUAAUUUGAUCAUUUUAUCACAUUGGCCUUGGCCUUUAAUGGAGGUGACAGAUCCCCCCCCCCCCUCUCUCUCUCUCUCUCUCUCUAGUCCGUACCUGUGGGAAUGUCGGGCAGGUUUUCAUACCUAAACGUUGUUGUGGGUGAACUUGAAUUGGUUGACAUGUUGUAUUCCCGUACGAGAGGCAAGGAAUUCUUCAUGUGCUAGGUCUUCAAAUUUGUUGACACAACUUAUAUGUGUGAUUCCCUUGGUUUUUGACUCUGUUUACUUCUCUGCAUUGUCCUUACAAGUGCGUCCAUGCAGAGCCACCCAUUGUUCGUGCCAUUGGCGGCAAUAGAAACUUCAGAGAAUGUAGGACAUGGCGUGAGAUGUCCAAGUCCCCAAAAUCACCAACAUGACAAUGAGAAUUUUUUUGGGAGUGUUAAGUUCAUUGUUUACAAAUAGAAGAUGGUUCUUUCACAUAAAUGUCCAUUUAAAACAUAGUUAUAUAGAAGGUUGUAAAAAGAGUUUGUAUGUCCAUAAUUUUUAUUUUUCCUCUAUAAA